UAUACCAAUAACUAAUUGCAUUAUGCAAGAUCGAUUAUGUCGAAUAAAGUUCUGGGUAGAAUUAUGAUAAUGACAUUUUCUACCCAUAUGUCUUGACCAAGUUACGUGCCAGCAGUCGCGGUAAUACGUAGUAGACUAGUGUUAUUCAUCUUUAAUAGGUUUAAAGGGUACCUAGACGGUAAAUCAAGCCCUAGGUACGGAUUUACUAGAGUUUUAUGUGAGGAGAAAGUACUGGUGGUGUAGAGAUGAAAUUUGUGAUACCAUGGAAACUGGUGGCGAAAGCAUCCUUUUAUGUAAAAACUGACGUUGAAGGACGAAGGCUUGGGUCGCAAAAAGGAUUAGAUACCCUAGUAGUCCAAGCAGACAAUGAUGAAUGUCAUAGAUUAGAUUAUUUUUGUUCUAUAAAUGAAAGUGUAAGCAUUCCACCUCACGAGUAAUUUGGCAACAUUGGAACUGAAAUCAUUAGACCGUUUCUGAAACCAG
rnacentral:rRNA from 1 species